rnacentral:rRNA from 1 species
UGGCAAAAUGUGACAAGGACUAGCAUGCAACUGCAAUUUAGUUAAAGGGCCGCGGUAUUUUGACCGUGCAAAGGUAGCAUAAUCAUUAGUCUUUUAAUUGAAGGCUGGAAUGAAUGGUUUGACGAAACAUUAACUGUCUCCAUAUAAUAAAUAGAAUUUAACUUUUGAGUCAAAAGGCUUAAAUGUGUGUAAAAGACGAGAAGACCCUAUAGAUCUUUAUAUGUGUUUGUGACUAUUAUGUUUAGUGGUGGUAAUUGUAGUUAUGGUACCAUAUUUUGUUGGGGUGACAUGAAGAUAUAAUUAACUCUUUAUAUUUUGAACAUUGAUUUAUGAAUUAUUGAUCCACUCUUAGUGAUUAUGAGAUAAAGUUACCUUAGGGAUAACAGCGUAAUUUUUUUUGAGAGUUCUUAUCGACAAAAAAGAUUGCGACCUCGAUGUUGGAUUAAGGAAUAUGAUUAGGUGUAGAAGUUUAAUUAAUAAGUCUGUUCGACUUUUAAAUCCUUACGUGAUCUGAGUUCAGACCGGG